CACUUCAACUUUUGGUUUAUGCUGUUCCACCAAACAUUGCUGUUGUUGUGUACAACAAUCACAGAUGGUCAUUUGAAACCCCUUUGAAAGCAAUGGAUUUUUCGUUUAAACUGAUUCAAAUCUUGGAUCAGGAAUACAAUAUUGCAAGUUUUCCAGCUUGAAUGUUUUUUGCAAAUAUAUAUAUAUUGUUUUAAUUGCCCCGAUUUUGACGUAUCAUGCCCGAAAGCAAGUGAAUUGGCUUCUGAGUUGAAUUUAUAAGUUUAGUUGACUGUCUUGAAUUGUUAUAAGUAUAGACUGUGUAGUUGCAUAAUGCGUAAAAAAAAAAAUGUUUGUAGAUGCGGUAAUAAUACAAGCUAAAACAAAUGUAAA